AGGUAAGCUACUAAGAGCGAAUGGUGGAUGCCUUGACUGGUAAAGGCGAUGAAGGACGUACUAGACUGCGAUAAGCUACGGGGAGCUGUCAAGAAGCUUUGAUCCGUAGAUUUCCGAAUGGGGCAACCCAAUGUAUAGAGAUAUACAUUACCUAUAUAGGAGCGAACGAGGGGAAUUGAAACAUCUUAGUACCCUCAGGAAAAGAAAUCAAUAGAGAUUGCGUCAGUAGCGGCGAGCGAAAGCGCAAGAGGGCAAACCCAGUGCUUGCACUGGGGGUUGUAGGACUGCAAUGUGCAAGAGGUAAGUUUAGCAGAACAUUCUGGAAAGUAUAACCAUAGAGGGUGAUAGUCCCGUAUGCGAAAAACAAACCUUAGCUAGCAGUAUCCUGAGUAGGGCGGGACACGAGGAAUCCUGUCUGAAUCCGGGUCGACCACGAUCCAACCCUAAAUACUAAUACCAGAUCGAUAGUGCACAAGUACCGUGAGGGAAAGGUGAAAAGAACUGAGGUGAUCAGAGUGAAAUAGAACCUGAAACCAUUUGCUUACAAUCAUUCAGAGCCCUAUGUAGCAAUACAGGGUGAUGGACUGCCUUUUGCAUAAUGAGCCUGCGAGUUGUGGUGUCUGGCAAGGUUAAGCAAACGCGAAGCCGUAGCGAAAGCGAGUCUGAAUAGGGCGCUUAGUCAGAUGCUGCAGACCCGAAACGAAGUGAUCUAUCCAUGAGCAAGUUGAAGCUAGUGUAAGAACUAGUGGAGGACUGAACCCAUAGGCGUUGAAAAGCCCCGGGAUGACUUGUGGAUAGGGGUGAAAGGCCAAUCAAACUUCGUGAUAGCUGGUUCUCUCCGAAAUAUAUUUAGGUAUAGCGUUGUGUCGUAAUAUAAGGGGGUAGAGCACUGAAUGGGCUAGGGCAUACACCAAUGUACCAAACCCUAUCAAACUCCGAAUACCUUAUAUGUAAUCACAGCAGUCAGGCGGCGAGUGAUAAAAUCCGUCGUCAAGAGGGAAACAACCCAGACUACCAGCUAAGGUCCCUAAAUCUUACUUAAGUGGAAAACGAUGUGAAGUUACUUAAACAACCAGGAGGUUGGCUUAGAAGCAGCCAUCCUUUAAAGAAAGCGUAAUAGCUCACUGGUCUAGUGAUUUUGCGCGGAAAAUAUAACGGGGCUAAAGUAAGUACCGAAGCUGUAGACUUGCACACAACUUAGAUUAUUUAAGUUUAGAAUAUGAGAAACUAAGUUAUAUGUUUAGUUAUAUUUUUACUGAUUUUUAUAGAGUAAAGAUAGAAAUAAAACUUAGUAAAAUCAGUAAAAAUAUUCUUAGACUAAAGUUAAGUAGUUUAAGUUGUGUGCAAGUGGUAGGAGAGCGUUCUAUUUGCGUCGAAGGUAUACCGGUAAGGAGUGCUGGAGCGAAUAGAAGUGAGCAUGCAGGCAUGAGUAGCGAUAAUUAAUGUGAGAAUCAUUAACGCCGUAAACCCAAGGUUUCCUACGCGAUGCUCGUCAUCGUAGGGUUAGUCGGGUCCUAAGUCGAGUCCGAAAGGGGUAGACGAUGGCAAAUUGGUUAAUAUUCCAAUACCAACAUUAGUGUGCGAUGGAAGGACGCUUAGGGCUAAGGGGGCUAGCGGAUGGAAGUGCUAGUCUAAGGUCGUAGGAGGUUAUACAGGCAAAUCCGUAUAACAAUACUCCGAGAACUGAAAGGCUUUUUGAAGUCUUCGGAUGGAUAGAAGAACCCCUGAUGCCGUCGAGCCAAGAAAAGUUUCUAAGUUUAGCUAAUGUUGCCCGUACCGUAAACCGACACAGGUGGGUGGGAUGAGUAUUCUAAGGCGCGUGGAAGAACUCUCUUUAAGGAACUCUGCAAAAUAGCACCGUAU
rnacentral:rRNA from 1 species